CGGACCCCAGGAUGGGC
rnacentral:rRNA from 1 species